rnacentral:tRNA from 1 species
ACCUCGGUGGUGUGAUGGUCAAAUAGGUUGCCUGUUAAUUAGGAGGGCGUGGGUUCAACCCCACUCGAGGUA